rnacentral:miRNA from 1 species
UAUCACAGUAAGUAGAUGGGGA